GCUCUCCACUCUUGUUAGUAAUGAUACCGGUAGGCAGUUCUCCGGUUUCAAGGAAGUGUGAAGCCUGUGUUUUCCUGAUUAUCAUCAAAAGUUUCCAAAUGCAACGUGGACAUUCAAUCCUUCGUUUUAAAGAAUGAAGCAGGAUUCACUACAGAUGCCAGACCAGACAGACUUUGUAAAAUUUAAAGGAAAAAAUCAUCAGCCAUCAUCACCAGCGAGAUCAGCAACAAAUUCUUCAGAACCCUAUUAAGCACUGGAACAGAGGAUCGAACUCAGGACCGUGCACUUGCCAGGCAGGUGCGGCACCACUGAGGUACAUCCCCGGAUCGCACAAGACUCUAGGCUUUGAAAGACAGUCUAAGAAAGCAUAGCCUGAAACAGCAUUGAUUUGCAUUAGUCAUAUUUCAUAAGGUAAAAGGUAGCUGAUUAUGUUUGGAACACUGCAAAAGUUGAAAAUAGAAGUACAAUGAGCCAGCACACUUGCUCAGAAUCCUUCAGGAAUGCAUAAUAGAAAGCAACCACCGAUGUCAGCAACGUGGGCUCCUGCCUUCUCCAAAGAGAAUACACCGGGGAGCACAAAGUGAUCCUAUCAUGCAGCAUUUUGUUGAAAUUCUCCCUUAUUAGAAUGUUUUCUUUUGUAUUUCUCUCUCCUACUAUCUACAGUAUGAACUGAUUGCCUGUGCUUUGCACGAACUGUGGAUCUUCUCCCGGGUCCCCUGACAAAGAAUUGAGCUCACAAUUUCUACUCUCAUACCUGCUAUUAUCUUUCCCUUCAAAUACACCAUCUAUCUCGACAGGAACUAAGCUUAGCUGGGAAAAUAUUCCUUGUGGGACUCUGGUUUGUCUUUUGCAUUAUCUAAAAGAUCAGAAUUUAAGUUUGCUUUCAAUAGUGAGCGCGGAUAUAUUUGUUCGAUGAGCAACUUUAGAAUGCACCUUUUAAUUUCAAGUGGGAAACAUCACAGUGAUG